CUGCAGAUGUUGCUCAACUAGGCUUCUCCAAAGAGAAAGCAUCCAAGUCUGAGAUAGAUGCUGCGAUCACCUGUUUUAGCUGCAGAUGUUGCUGAACUAGCCUUCUCCAAAGCACAAGUCUGGGACAGAUGCCGCGCUAACCUGUUCAACUGUUCAGCGAGAAACAACAAAUCGAUGAUCAGGAGGCACAUGGAUCUCAACUGCUCCAUCAAGCACCUGGGUCAUCUUAUGCAUUUUAGGGCGUGUCGCUUGCUCCUGUCAUUGCAGUAGUUGGAGUUCCCUGGUUCGAUCACUUGCCAUACUCAACCUAUUUACAGGUUGACUCCACACACCGCAGUGCCACUGCCACAAACAGCUGGACCCUCUUCAUGUCAAGGGAAGCUGCCUUGUCUUCCAGCACCAGAAGAUUGAUAUAUCCAGCCCAGUCCGUUAGAAUUGCUCUAUCCUCAUGAGAUAUUUCUUGUUCAACAUUUUACCUGCAAGAUAUGAGCUCCAAAAAGGGUAGAUGAGGGGAAGGUUUACAAGGAUAGAGCGUCCAUGGAGCAAAAGAGGUCCCAAGGACCCAAUAAUAUGUCUUGUCUUUCUUCCGCUUGUCGUGUCAUUGCUAAUCUCAGAUCAGGAGCUGCUGUUCUUUGGCACGUUUAGAUACAGUGUUCUGCUCAUGGUGCUUUUCGCCUUUCUGUUAGACAGCAGCAGCUCCUUCCAGCAAUGAACUUGGUGAAAUACCAGACUGCCAAAAAACAAAACUUGGUGAAAAAAAGUGCAGAAACAGUUCAACAUGCACAUCUCAUGCAAUUAUCCUGAUUGAUAGUGUACUUGUGCUCAUGGCAGCAAGAGCCCAGUCCACAGCUAUCACUGAAAGUAGAUCAAACUGGUUGGAUGUUGAAUGAUGUUCAUCAAAGUCACGACUCUGGGCUUGGACGUCUGCUUGGCACCCUCUGUACUUCUGCUGAUCAAUGAAUGCAUAACAUGUUGGGAACUGGCAAAUGGCAACCCACCUCUGGUUCCUGGUCCAGUCAAAUCUGCAGUACCUGUGCUUUAAUUUUGUGUUGAACUGCUGUGGUACAUGUUCAGCGUGCAUACUCUGCUUGCAUCUCCUGUUACAACGAUGUUGCAGAUGCCCCUUGAGAUGAAGUUGCAGGAACGUUCCACUGGAUGCUCGCUGCUGCCAUCUUUGGUAGAUGCAUCGCCGGAAUUCGCCAUCUGUUUCAAGCUGGGACGGUGGUGGUGGUCUGCCAUGCAGGUCAUCUCCACAUAUGUGAUGCUGGCACGGUGAAGUACUACCAGCUGUGAGCCGCUCCUGACGAUGUCACUGGACCAAGACGAGCUGUAUUGGUUUCCACAGAGUGCAGCCACAGCGUAAAACACGGGGUCUCUCUCAUAAUCUUGCACAUUGAGGAGAAGCCUGCCACCGGUGUUGUCUGUCGCCAUGGGCCGGCUGCAGAGUUUUAUCCCAUGGAGCAUUGUUAAGCACUAGAUUGGGCAGGUCGGUAUUGGCCGGGUUGGUGAAGGUGUCCAAACCAACUGCCCUGGUAAGCACAGUCUCUGGUGUCUGUCGUAGGAUGCACAGAUGAAUCUGGGAUUCCAAAGCUCUGAGUGUGCUGAAGGAGCCACCCAAACUGUGCUUCAACUGGCAUUCGCAUGCUGUAGGUGGUGUAUCAAACGAUGGCCUUGCCAAACCAGAGGGUGACAAGCGAGCCAAAGGUUGUGUUGCGCUGAUGGAGCACUUGAGGAUGAGCAUCUUACAAGGAGGAUGGAGAAUUCGGGAGCCACCAUUUCUCUUUGCUAGUUGCAGCAGCUCUUGCUUGAGGCUGUAAACCUUCCACAUUAUCAGGAGCAUGGUUGAUUUAGACCAUCAAGUUAAUCUAUUGCCUAAUAUACUUUCUGGAAACGCGACAAGAACAAAUCCUUCACUGGCUUAAUCGUUUGAAGCUUUUUCCUCUCCAAACAAUGGUUGAUUGCCCGAAGGCUGAGCUACUGUAGUAUGUUUUUUUUUUUGGUUAGAAGGAUAGGGGUUUCCCCGGGCACAUUUUAUUGAAACGAGGCCAGCAGAAAACAGAAAUCAUGUUCAGUGUGCUGUCACACACAGCC